UUUUAGCCCUGAUAGAAGCGAAAAUCAUUUAUUGAGAAAGCCUGUUUUUUCCGGUAUUUACAGAGCGACCGGAGGAAGCUCCUGUAAAGGCCAGGAAAAAAGGAUUUGGAGAUAAAUAUUGCAGCGGAUAGCAGGAUAAGCU
rnacentral:sRNA from 1 species